UGCAAGCCCCAGGCUUGAAACUUGAUUUAAAAAAAAAAAUACAAGAUUGAAUUUCAGUUUGCAGGAUUAGGGAGAUGACUUUUAGGGGCUGCUUGUUGGAAAAAAAGGAAAGCAAAGCAGCUGGGAGGGAUUAGGCUGAGCUGGCGUCUGCACUUUCAACUGAUUCAAUUUUGCUCCACAAGACAUUGUAUCUGAGCCUUUCUGGAGACUAUUCAAAGCAAAUCAUUUUCAUUUUACCAUUUGGUGGUGCCAUGGGGAUCCCAAAGGAUGGGGAGUGAUGGGGGCACAGAGGUGCUUGGGGUGCCACCCAGAGCACUUGGGCCAUGCUGCAAAAUAGAUGCAGCCCCGUUGUGAAGGGAAAAGUUCCUCUGGUAGGUGACUACUGCAG
rnacentral:lncRNA from 1 species